GUAUAAAAGCAAUAUCACACUUGUAAUCGUGAUGUUGGUCUGAUAUUGGGAUUAAACAGCGCUCCUGUUCAUCUGAUGUUGCUUUAUCAAUAAAUGAUUAUAUUAACAUGUGAAAUGUUUUGAGAAAUCUCAAUGAAACCACAUUAAACCAUCUUAAACCUGUCACUGCUGAAGCGUUUGCAUAGAGAGAGUGUUUUACAUGAGCGACACACGCUUCAGUGCUCUGCAUGUGUUUAUAACUCUGUCAAACAUCAAACAUGAUCAACAACUGUUUUUCACUAGAACUGAACCUACAACCAACAAAAAUGACUUUCAGCACCAUAUUGAUCUGGACGCUGGCAGUAUUAUGUCGAGAAUCUGUUGGUCAGGUGACAGUGACUCAAACUCCCUCAGAGCUGCUCUCUCAAACUGGACAAUCAGUCACUGUAAACUGUAAAUUUAAUAGUGAUCCAGUCUCCUGGUGUAGUGGACAGUGUCUUGGCUGGUACUUACAGAAACCUGGAGAAACUCCUAAACUCCUGAUUUAUAGUGCAAAAACCCUCCAGUCAGGAACUCCAUCUAGAUUCAGUGGCAGUGGAUCUAACAGUGAUUUCACUCUGACCAUCAGUGGAGUCCAGACUGAAGAUGCUGGACAUUAUUACUGUCAGAGUUAUCACUACAUCAACAGUAAAUGGAUGUUCACACAGUGAUAAAGAGUCGUACAAAAACCUCCGUCAGUCAGAGUCACAGUGACUGAACUGAUACUGCAGCUGCUCACACACUUUCACACACUUUCACACACUACUGACACACAGAGGACAAACACAGGAACUACACAUGUGCUCAAAACUGACUUAUGACUGAAAUCAGCUCUAUUAGACUGUGAUCUGUCCUGUGACAGACGGGUUUGACUCAAAUAUGCUCAGAUUCAGAGAAAACAGAGUGUGUAAAUUUAUAUGAAAUCAA